AUGUGGAGGGAAAGAAUAAAGAGAGAGGAACGGCCUUCACCUGCCCCCAUGCAUAUGGGGGGCAUCCUAUGAAAGGGGCCGUUUACAAGUUCUGGGCAGAGACCAGUGUGGUGCGCAGCACACUGGGAGCUGCUGGUGGCAGAGCACAUGGAGCCCUCUCCUUCUCUGCCUCCCUCCUCAUUUCCUCAUCCUCAUGGCUGAAGUGAAAAACUCCAAUAUGGCGAAACCAUGUGAUGAAAUAUGUUUGGAUCACCACACGGAGGGAAACUGCUCGGGAAGGAUGCCUGACCGCGUCGAUCUUCCCAAUAUGAGAGAAAGAAAUGUUUGUAUUUUGUAGAGCCUAAGGCUUGGAAGUUCUUUGUAAAAGUCAACUUGAACUUAAAAAGUUGGCGUCAUACUUUCCUAAUUUGUUUUUUUAAAUCAUCACCUUCCAGAUUAAAUUACUUUCUUACCUCCUUCCUUGAUAGCUUCAUAUUAAAUAAAUAAUAAAACUUC